UCCACCAGUGGCAAAAGCCUCCAUUCAGUCGACAUUCCACCUGAAUACCUGACGGGAUAAAAGGAGGAAGGAAAUAAACAGCUAUAUAAGGAAAUAAUAUCAUAUGAGUCGACAUUAUGACUCUAUAGCAGAGUGGUAUAUGAUUUCAUCAUUGGCAAUGUUUGGAUCAUUGGGAUCACACUUUUUAUUUGUAAUAUUUCAAACUAAAGAGGAAGCAAGAGUUAACGAGGUCAAGAUGCAUCGAGAUAGAAUUUACUACUACUAUGGUGACCCAGAAAGAUCGGCGGCUCCAGUUUUCACCGUGAAAAAUGGCCGUUCUGUGCCUGGCAACCGUCACAACGAACGCUCAACAAAUUAUGAUGACUGGGAGGAACCUACAUACCAUGACAAUUUGACAUUUAAUAAGAACAUUAUGCAAAAUGAACGACAACGAUAUGAAAUUGAGCCAAAAAAGAACAAAAUCAACGGGAAAAUUGGCUCUUAUAUGGAAACAAAUGGUAAGCGUGAUGUGCUUCCAGGCUCGCCGCCGGUUACAACCGCGACAGGACAAGACGCGACGGACGUUGGACCUCGUAGGCAACAUUCGACUCUCCCGGUGAUGAAACACAUGGAGGGGAAAA